GCCAGCAUGGCAUGCAUAUUGAAAUCCCAAUUCAGGAAUGAAAAUCUGAAACCAAGCUAUCUGCUUUUGUGUACUCUGGCACUGCAUCAUUUAAAAUAAUCCAAGAAUGAAAAUAUGAGCUAAGCUGCUUGCUUUUUUAAACAUUGAGCGUGUCAAUCCUGAGAUUCCACUGGACUGGCAUUUACUCUCCCACAAAGGAGUAGCUGAAGAAAGAGGAUCAUCUCUAACGAUCUCUGUAGCCCAGCAUUUAGCACACAGCUGCACAGCAUGUCUUCAGUUAAUGUAUACGAGGUGGAUGAAACCAGUAGAAUCAAGGUUCUUAAUCCUGAAACUAGAGGAUUUACUACACUGACAGAUGCUGAACCUAAGAAAUGAAUUUUCCCUCUUGGUUAUUAAAAAAUAAAAUCGAUGGCGUUUCAGGAAGAACCUCCUACCAACAUCCCAUACCCCUCACCCUCGCGUCUGCUUUAUUUUGCUUUCAUAUGCAAAUGUAAGGGUGAAAGCAAAGUAGACUUUUUCACAUUCCAAUGCUAGCAACCUGCUGAAAAGCAACUUGAACUUUGCCAGUUACUUGUUCAAUUUCUGCAGUCUUUUUGAUUAUUUCAGCUUUGUUCUACAAGCAGGCUCUCCGCUCUACCAGCCUAUUUUUGUGUCUGCUAAGCAGAAAUUACUGCAGUGUUUCCUAAGAUGCCUGGAAUGGCAACUAUUCUUUUUGAACUCACCCUGCCUGCCAUACCUUUCUUUCUCUUCAGCCACCAUGGAAUCAGAGUUCUAAAUAAAGAGCUUACAUGUGUUUUCAAGCA